AAAACAACGCUCCUUCGUUGUUAAAGUUGAUUGGGGACUAUGAUCCUAUAUUUUUGGUGUUUAUUUUGGAUGGUCCGGAGUUUUUGGCUGCAACUAUGUUGGACAGAGAUAUGCUUGCUAUUGCUGUAAAUUGGUACCAUGUCGGUUGGUUUGCUUGGUAAGAUUUGUGACGAUGCGUCGGACAAACAACAUUGGGAAAAUAUACAGCCUUG